rnacentral:rRNA from 1 species
CCUACGGGAGGCAGCAGUGAGGAAUAUUGGUCAAUGGGCGGGAGCCUGAACCAGCCAAGUCGCGUGAAGGAAGAAGGUACUCAGUAUUUUAAACUUCUUUUGUCGGGGCACAAAAGCGGAGACGCGUCUCCGUAUGAGUGUACCCGAAGAAAAAGCAUCGGCCAACUCCGUGCCAGCAGCCGCGGUAAUACGGAGGAUGCGAGCGUUAUCCGGAUUUGUUGGGUUUAAAGGGUGCGCAGGCGGGAGAUCAAGUCAGAGGUAAAAUGUCGGGGCUCAACCCCGGCCGGCCGUUGAAACUGGUUUUCUAGAGUUGGAGAGAGGUAUGCGGAAUUCGUGGUGUAGCGGUGAAAUGCGUAGAUAUCACGAAGAACUCCGGUUGCGAAGGCAGCAUACCGGCUCCAAACUGACGCUGAGGCACGAAAGCGUGGGGAUCGAACAGGAUUAGAUACCCGAGUAGUC